GUUUGGUUUGCCAUCACUUUUUGUGACUUUUCUGACAUCUGCAAGUGUCGGAAGUGUGACCUGAAACAUUUAAGGACACUUCUGCCUGAACCAUGGGCAGAUGUUUAGACUCCAAGAUACAGAGGAGGAGGGUCUUGGAGGUUUCUUAGUAUAAGUUCCUCCCUGUGGUACUUGCAGUUCCUACAAGGGGCUGUCAGAGAAACAAGCCGGAGAAGAGCAAGACAUGGUCCUGGUGCAUGAAAGGAGCCUAAGAAAGAAGAGUGAAAGCUGCACGUGUGUGAGUAUCUAGCAGAACAUCUAGAAAAUGCACACCAACCUCCAGCAGCAGAAAACAGUCUACCUCCAGAAAGCCAUAAAAGAGAAAAGAAUGUUGUACCAAACUAAGCAAAUGAAGCAUGAAAUGAAAAGCCGGUUGAGCUGGGAGGUAUAAAGAAUGGAAAGGAAGCAGCUACCACCCCUGGUAACCCCAUCAAUCCGGAGAAGCUUCGCAGAGUUACACUGUGCUCUGUCGGGUAAGAUAUCUUAAAAGCCCACACGCUCCCAAGUUCCUCCUUUGCCCGUGUAUAGUGGUACCUGACACCCUCA
rnacentral:lncRNA from 1 species